GGAAAGGCCCUGCUUGCAGGGUACUCGAGUGGCGAACGGGUGAGUAACACGUGGGUGAUCUGCCCUGCACUUCGGGAUAAGCCUGGGAAACUGGGUCUAAUACCGGAUAGGACGCCAUUUUUAGUGUGAUGGUUGGAAAGUUUUUUCGGUGUAGGAUGAGCUCGCGGCCUAUCAGCUUGUUGGUGGGGUAAUGGCCUACCAAGGCGGCGAUGGGUAGCCGGCCUGAGAGGGUGGACGGCCACAUUGGGACUGAGAUACGGCCCAGACUCCUACGGGAGGCAGCAGUGGGGAAUAUUGCACAAUGGGCGCAAGCCUGAUGCAGCGACGCCGCGUGGGGGAUGACGGCCUUCGGGUUGUAAACUCCUUUCGCUAGGGACGAAGCUUUCGUGACGGUACCUAGAUAAGAAGCACCGGCUAACUACGUGCCAGCAGCCGCGGUAAUCACGUAGGGUGCGAGCGUUGUCCGGAAUUACUGGGCGUAACCGGGCUCGUAGUGGUUUGUCGCGUCGUCUGUGAGAUGUCCGGGGCUUAACUCCGGGCGUGCAGGCGAUACGGGCAUAACCUGAGUACUGUAGGGGUCCCCCGGAAUUCCUGGUGUAGCGGUGAAAUGCGCAGAUAUCAGGAGGAACACCGAUGGCGAAGGCAGGUUACUGGGCAGUUACUGACGCUGGGGAGCGAAAGCAUGGGUACGAACAGGAUUAGAUACCCUGGUAGUC
rnacentral:rRNA from 1 species